rnacentral:rRNA from 1 species
UACGGAGGGGGCUAGCGUUGUUCGGAAUUACUGGGCGUAAAGGGCGCGUAGGCGGCUCUGUUAGUCAGGCGUGAAAGCCCUGGGCUCAACCUGGGGACUGCGCUUGAUACGGCGGGGCUUGAGGGCAGGAGAGGCUCGCGGAAUUCCCAGUGUAGAGGUGAAAUUCGUAGAUAUUGGGAAGAACACCGGUGGCGAAGGCGGCGAGCUGGCCUGUUACUGACGCUGAGGCGCGACAGCGUGGGGAGCAAACAGG